ACGAACGCUGGCGGCGUGCUUAACACAUGCAAGUCGAACGGAAAGGCCUGCUUUCCCUUGUGGAUUGCGGGUGCUCGAGUGGCGAACGGGUGAGUAACACGUGAGUGAUCUGCCCCCAACUUGGGUAUAAGCCUGGGAAACUGGGUCUAAUUCCCGAUAGGACUGCAGGGUGGUGCCUGUGGUGGAAAACGAUUUUCUAGUGGUUGGGGAUGAGCUCGCGGCCUAUCAGCUUGUUGGUGGGGUAAUGGCCUACCAAGGCGGCGACGGGUAGCCGGCCUGAGAGGGUGGACGGCCACAUUGGGACUGGGAUACGGCCCAGACUCCUACGGGAGGCAGCAGUGGGGAAUAUUGCACAAUGGGCGGAAGCCUGAUGCAGCGACGCCGCGUGGGGGAUGACGGCCUUCGGGUUGUAAACUCCUUUCGACCGCGAGGAAGCCACCUGGUGGGAAGGGUGGUGACGGUAGUGGUAGAAGAAGCACCGGCUAACUACGU
rnacentral:rRNA from 1 species